rnacentral:rRNA from 1 species
ACGUACACUCCUACGGGAGGCAGCAGUGGGGAAUAUUGGACAAUGGGCGCAAGCCUGAUCCAGCCAUGCCGCGUGAGUGAUGAAGGUCCUAGGGUUGUAAAGCUCUUUCACCGGUGAAGAUAAUGACGGUAACCGGAGAAGAAGCCCCGGCUAACUUCGUGCCAGCAGCCGCGGUAAUACGAAGGGGGCUAGCGUUGUUCGGAUUUACUGGGCGUAAAGCGCACGUAGGCGGACUAUUAAGUCAGGGGUGAAAUCCCGGGGCUCAACCCCGGAACUGCCUUUGAUACUGGUAGUCUUGAGUUCGAGAGAGGUGAGUGGAAUUCCGAGUGUAGAGGUGAAAUUCGUAGAUAUUCGGAGGAACACCAGUGGCGAAGGCGGCUCACUGGCUCGAUACUGACGCUGAGGUGCGAAAGCGUGGGGAGCAAACAGGAUUAGAUACCCCUGUAGUCCCAUGA